CUCGUAGACUCCUACGGGAGGCAGCAGUAAGGAAUAUUUGACAAUGGGCGCAAGCCUGAUCCAGCCAUCCCGCGUGCAGGAAGACAGCCCUAUGGGUUUUAACUGCUUUUAGAAGGGAAGAAACGCUACAUUUUAUGUGGGUUUGACGGUACCUUCGAAUAAGCACCGGCUAACUCGUGCCAGCAGCCGCGGUAAUACGGAGGGUGCGAGCGUUAUCCGGAAUUACUGGGUUUUAAAGGGUGCGUAGGCGGGCGAUUAAGUCAGAGGUGAAAGCUUUCAGCUUAACUGAGAAAUUGCCUUUGAUACUGAUUGUCUUGAAAUAUGUUGAGGUUAGCAGAAUGUGGCAUGUAGCGGUGAAAUGCAUAGAUAUGCCAUAGAAUACCAAUUGCGAAGGCAGCUAACUGGGCAUUAUUUGACGCUGAGGCACGAAAGCGUGGGGAGCGAACAGGAUUAGAUACCCUGGUAG
rnacentral:rRNA from 1 species